AGGAAAGCAGGGGAUCGCAAGACCUUGCGCUCUUGGAGCGGCCGAUGUCUGAUUAGCUAGUUGGUGAGGUAAAGGCUUACCAAGGCGACGAUCAGUAGCUGGUCUGAGAGGACGACCAGCCACACUGGGACUGAGACACGGCCCAGACUCCUACGGGAGGCAGCAGUGGGGAAUUUUGGACAAUGGGGGAAACCCUGAUCCAGCCAUGCCGCGUGAGUGAAGAAGGCCUUCGGGUUGUAAAGCUCUUUCAGCCGGAACGAAACGGUCACGGCUAAUACCUGUGAUCACUGACGGUACCGGAAGAAGAAGCACCGGCUAACUACGUGCCAGCAGCCGCGGUAAUACGUAGGGUGCAAGCGUUAAUCGGAAUUACUGGGCGUAAAGCGUGCGCAGGCGGUUCUGUAAGUCAGAUGUGAAAUCCCCGGGCUUAACCUGGGAACUGCGUUUGAAACUACAAAGCU
rnacentral:rRNA from 1 species